GAAAUCAACCGAGAUUCCCCCAGUAGCGGCGAGCGAACGGGGAGCAGCCCAGAGUCUGAAUCAGCUUGUGUGUUAGUGGAACGGUCUGGAAAGUCCGACGGUACAGGGUGAUAGUCCCGUACACCAAAAUGCACAGGUUGUGAACUCGAAGAGUAGGGCGGGACACGUGGUAUCCUGUCUGAAUAUGGGGGGACCAUCCUCCAAGGCUAAAUACUCCUGACUGACCGAUAGUGAACCAGUACCGUGAGGGAAAGGCGAAAAGAACCCCGGCGAGGGGAGUGAAAAAGAACCUGAAACCGUGUACGUACAAGCAGUGGGAGCACCUUCGGGUGUGACUGCGUACCUUUUGUAUAAUGGGUCAGCGACUUAUAUUCUGUAGCAAGGUUAACCGUAUAGGGGAGCCGCAGGGAAACCGAGUCUUAACUGGGCGUUAAGUUGCAGGGUAUAGACCCGAAACCCGGUGAUCUAGCCAUGGGCAGGUUGAAGGUUGGGUAACACUAACUGGAGGACCGAACCGACUAAUGUUGAAAAAUUAGCGGAUGACUUGUGGCUGGGGGUGAAAGGCCAAUCAAACCGGGAGAUAGCUGGUUCUCCCCGAAAGCUAUUUAGGUAGCGCCUCGUGAAUUCAUCUUCGGGGGUAGAGCACUGUUUCGGCUAGGGGGUCAUCCCGACUUACCAACCCGAUGCAAACUACGAAUACCGAAGAAUGUUAUCACGGGAGACACACGGCGGGUGCUAACGUCCGUCGUGAAGAGGGAAACAACCCAGACCGCCAGCUAAGGUCCCAAAGUCAUGGUUAAGUGGGAAACGAUGUGGGAAGGCACAGACAGCCAGGAUGUUGGCUUAGAAGCAGCCAUCAUUUAAAGAAAGCGUAAUAGCUCACUGGUCGAGUCGGCCUGCGCGGAAGAUGUAACGGGGCUAAACCAUGCACCGAAGCUGCGGCAGCGACACUAUGUGUUGUUGGGUAGGGGAGCGUUCUGUAAGCCUGCGAAGGUGACCUGUGAGGGUUGCUGGAGGUAUCAGAAGUGCGAAUGCUGACAUAAGUAACGAUAAAGCGGGUGAAAAGCCCGCUCGCCGGAAGACCAAGGGUUCCUGUCCAACGUUAAUCGGGGCAGGGUGAGUCGACCCCUAAGGCGAGGCCGAAAGGCGUAGUCGAUGGGAAACAGGUUAAUAUUCCUGUACUUGGUGUUACUGCGAAGGGGGGACGGAGAAGGCUAUGUUAGCCGGGCGACGGUUGUCCCGGUUUAAGCAUGUAGGCUGGUUGUCCAGGCAAAUCCGGAUAAUCAAGGCUGAGGUGUGAUGACGAGGCACUACGGUGCUGAAGUAACAAAUGCCCUGCUUCCAGGAAAAGCCUCUAAGCAUCAGGUAACAUUAAAUCGUACCCCAAACCGACACAGGUGGUCAGGUAGAGAAUACCAAGGCGCUUGAGAGAACUCGGGUGAAGGAACUAGGCAAAAUGGUGCCGUAACUUCGGGAGAAGGCACGCUGGUGUGUAGGUGAAGCCCCUGCGGGUGGAGCUGAGACCAGUCGAAGAUACCAGCUGGCUGCAACUGUUUAUUAAAAACACAGCACUGUGCAAACACGAAAGUGGACGUAUACGGUGUGACGCCUGCCCGGUGCCGGAAGGUUAAUUGAUGGGGUUAUCCGUAAGGAGAAGCUCUUGAUCGAAGCCCCGGUAAACGGCGGCCGUAACUAUAACGGUCCUAAGGUAGCGAAAUUCCUUGUCGGGUAAGUUCCGACCUGCACGAAUGGCGUAAUGAUGGCCAGGCUGUCUCCACCCGAGACUCAGUGAAAUUGAACUCGCUGUGAAGAUGCAGUGUACCCGCGGCAAGACGGAAAGACCCCGUGAACCUUUACUAUAGCUUGACACUGAACAUUGAGCCUUGAUGUGUAGGAUAGGUGGGAGGCUUUGAAGCGUGGACGCCAGUCUGCGUGGAGCCAACCUUGAAAUACCACCCUUUAAUGUUUGAUGUUCUAACGUUGGCCCCUUACCGGGGUUGCGGACAGUGUCUGGUGGGUAGUUUGACUGGGGCGGUCUCCUCCUAAAGCGUAACGGAGGAGCACGAAGGUUAGCUAAUCCUGGUCGGACAUCAGGAGGUUAGUGCAAUGGCAUAAGCUAGCUUGACUGCGAGCGUGACGGCGCGAGCAGGUGCGAAAGCAGGUCAUAGUGAUCCGGUGGUUCUGAAUGGAAGGGCCAUCGCUCAACGGAUAAAAGGUACUCCGGGGAUAACAGGCUGAUACCGCCCAAGAGUUCAUAUCGACGGCGGUGUUUGGCACCUCGAUGUCGGCUCAUCACAUCCUGGGGCUGAAGUAGGUCCCAAGGGUAUGGCUGUUCGCCAUUUAAAGUGGUACGCGAGCUGGGUUUAGAACGUCGUGAGACAGUUCGGUCCCUAUCUGCCGUGGGCGCUGGAGAAUUGAGGGGGGCUGCUCCUAGUACGAGAGGACCGGAGUGGACGCAUCACUGGUGUUCGGGUUGUCAUGCCAAUGGCACUGCCCGGUAGCUAAAUGCGGAAGAGAUAAGUGCUGAAAGCAUCUAAGCACGAAACUUGCCCCGAGAUGAGUUCUCCCUGAGACUUUAAGUCUCCUGAAGGAACGUUGAAGACGACGACGUUGAUAGGCCGGGUGUGUAAGCGCAGCGAUGCGUUGAGCUAACCGGUACUAAUGAACCGUGAGGCUUAACCUU
rnacentral:rRNA from 1 species